rnacentral:misc_RNA from 1 species
GCUUAGGCAAUACUUUUUCUACUUUAUACAAGAAAAUUCUAUAGAUGAAUCCAGUUCAUAUAUAACAAAUAAGUGAAACUCACAUAUUUAUAACUUUAUAUAUAAUAAAUCAGGUCUAUCUAACCUUUCUAGUACUCUAUGAUUCAGCACUUUUGUUUUCUUCCCUUAUUGUUAUGCUGAACAAAUUUAAUCGAUGAAUCCUCAUAAUUCUUCAGUCAGCCAGCUUUAUAUUUUUAGAUG